GCAGCAGCCGCGGGAAUACAGAGGGUGCGAGCGUUAAUCGGAUUUACUGGGCGUAAAGCGUGCGUAGGCGGCUAAUUGAGUCGGAUGUGAAAUCCCCGAGCUUAACUUGGGAAUUGCAUUCGAUACUGGUUAGCUAGAGUGUGGGAGAGGAUGGUAGAAUUCCAGGUGUAGCGGUGAAAUGCGUAGAGAUCUGGAGGAAUACCGAUGGCGAAGGCAGCCAUCUGGCCUAACACUGACGCUGAGGUACGAAAGCAUGGGGAGCAAACAGGAUUAGAUACCCCCGUAGUCCCUGUCUCUUAUAU
rnacentral:rRNA from 1 species